rnacentral:rRNA from 1 species
AUUGAACGCUGGCGGCAGGCCUAACACAUGCAAGUCGAACGAGUGGCGGACGGGUGAGUAAUGUCUGGGAAACUGCCUGAUGGAGGGGGAUAACUACUGGAAACGGUAGCUAAUACAGCAUACCAUCGGAAGUGCCCAGAUUGGAUUAGCUAGUAGGUGGGGUAACGGCUCACCAAGGCGACGAUCCCUAGCUGGUCUGAGAGGAUGACCAGCCACACUGGAACUGAGCCACGGUCCAGACUCCUACGUGAGGCAGCAGUGGGGAAUUUUGCACAAUGGGCGCAAGCCUGAUGCAGCCAUGCCGCGUGUAUGAAGAAGGCCUUCGGGUUGUAAAGUACUUUCAGCGGGGAGGCGUUACCCGCAGAAUAAGCACCGGCUAACUCCGUGCCAGCAGCCGCGGUAAUUC